CAUAAAUACUCCCUCUUACUGAAGAAAAAACACAAACUCAAAUACUAACCACUAUAAAUCAGUUGCUUAAUCUAAAAAUCUACAAAAUGCCUAAUGAUAUAACCUUUAACAUUCUUCUAAAACUUGAUGUCAAAUCGCUUUUACGAUUCAAAUGCGUUUGCAAAUCAUGGUGCACUUUAAAUGAAGAUCCUAAAUGAGGCAUCACUUCGAUAUGUCUCAAAAGGAUGUGAAUCGUCAUAAAUUCUUCUUAACUGGUGGAAUGAGGACGAUUAUUUCUACUAUGUAGACACUCCACUUCAAUAUGAUUCUGUUGCCUCUCUUAUCGAGUCUCGGAUUCCAAGAAUCAGUCAUUUAAGUAGCGUAAGUUUUGUUAGUUCUUCUAAUAAUGGUAUAAUUCUUAUGGUUUUUCCUUAUGAUUUAAUCAUUUUGUGGAACCCAGCCAUCAAGGAAAUGUAUUAUGGACGUUGCUUGAGCCGCGUGAAAUUAAUGAAUACAUCAUUUUUUUAAGGUAUAAAGGUGAGUUCGAGAUCUAUAAUACAAAUGGAGAGAGAAGCAAAAUAGUUGAGGUUCCUGAGAUUGAGUCAUUGUUUUACUAUAUCAAUUGGAUUGUACCAUAUGUAGAAAGUUUGUUUUCUCCUAAACAGAGAUAAAUUCGAAAUUUUAAGAAGAUGAAUGCGUUAAAUACCAGAAAAGAAGAGGAAUGUAAUCUUGAAAGAAUAAUUCGAACUUAGUUAAAAUGCAAGGAAGGAUAUAAGAAAUGCUCAUAAUCAUGUUGAAUUUGGCUA